GAUGAACGCUGGCGGCGUGCCUAAUACAUGCAAGUCGAGCGAACGGACGAGAAGCUUGCUUUUCUGAUGUUAGCGGCGGACGGGUGAGUAACACGUGGAUAACCUACCUAUAAGACUGGGAUAACUUCGGGAAACCGGAGCUAAUACCGGAUAAUAUUUUGAACCGCAUGGUUCAAAAGUGAAAGACGGUCUUGCUGUCACUUAUAGAUGGAUCCGCGCUGCAUUAGCUAGUUGGUAAGGUAACGGCUUACCAAGGCAACGAUGCAUAGCCGACCUGAGAGGGUGAUCGGCCACACUGGAACUGAGACACGGUCCAGACUCCUACGGGAGGCAGCAGUAGGGAAUCUUCCGCAAUGGGCGAAAGCCUGACGGAGCAACGCGGCGUGAGUGAUGAAGGUCUUCGGAUCGUAAAACUCUGUUAUUAGGGAAGAACAUAUGUGUAAGUAACUGUGCACAUCUUGACGGUACCUAAUCAGAAAGCCACGGCUAACUACGUG
rnacentral:rRNA from 1 species